rnacentral:rRNA from 1 species
AUGCACGCUGGCGGCGUGCCUAAUCCCUGCAAGUCGAGCGAACAGAUGAGGAGCUUGCUCCUCUGACGUUAGCGGCGGACGGGUGAGUAACACGUGGAUAACCUACCUAUAAGACUGGGAUAACUUCGGGAAACCGGAGCUAAUACCGGAUAAUAUAUUGAACCGCAUGGUUCAAUAGUGAAAGACGGUUUUGCUGUCACUUAUAGAUGGAUCCGCGCCGCAUUAGCUAGUUGGUAAGGUAACGGCUUACCAAGGCAACGAUGCGUAGCCGACCUGAGAGGGUGAUCGGCCACACUGGAACUGAGACACGGUCCAGACUCCUACGGGAGGCAGCAGUAGGGAAUCUUCCGCAAUGGGCGAAAGCCUGACGGAGCAACGCCGCGUGAGUGAUGAAGGUCUUCGGAUCGUAAAACUCUGUUAUUAGGGAAGAACAAAUGUGUAAGUAACUAUGCACGUCUUGACGGUACCUAAUCAGAAAGCCACGGCUAACUACGUG